rnacentral:lncRNA from 1 species
GAAAGGGAGAUUAUAACUACACAAGGUGAUGACAUCAUAACCCCGGGUCCCCACUGUGAGAGGCACACUGAAAUGAGCACUACAGACCCUAGGAGGGGAGGGUUCAAGUAGAGUCAGGGAAGGUCCUAGGGGAGGUGGUCUCUGAACUCAAGGGCAGGUUGCCAAAGAGGAGGAGUUGGGAGAGCAUUGAUGACCGGCAGAGAAGUCAAUGCGCAGAGGUCAGAUGAGAGAGUGACAAGGAGGAAACAAGGCAGGCUGGAGCAGAGAGGACCACAGGAGCACCAUGUCAUGCUUCACCCAGAAAUCAGUCUUUGAGGGCAUGGCUGAGAACUGCUAUGAGUGCCUUUGGAAGGCCCAGGGGAACCCACGGUGGACGUCACGGCCAAAAGAUUACUGCCGAGGACUGCAUCUCAAGGAAUGGGCAAGGGGAAGACAGAAUCAGGCUAACUCAGCAAUGCCAGUGUCUCAAGCAUAAAAGAGCAUGUAACUGGACUAAGGGCAAUGAGGAACUUAAGAGGUGUCAACUACAUCAAGCUGCAUAGAGAGAUGGAAAUGAACAAUAUAAGAUAAAUCAAAGGAAGUCCUUCUUCAUGUAGAAGAGGAAUAACUCACAGACCUCAUUACCAAAGAAAAGUUUUCAUUAAUAAAUGUACCC